rnacentral:tRNA from 1 species
GGCUGGGUAGCUCAAUGGUAGAGCGGCAGACUCAUAAGCUGUAGGUUGUGGGUUCGAAUCCCACCCCAGCCA